UACAGAGGGGGCAAGCGUUGUUCGGAAUUACUGGGCGUAAAGGGCGCGUAGGCGGCCUUCUAAGUCGAACGUGAAAUCCCCGGGCUCAACCCGGGAACUGCGUCCGAUACUGGAAGGCUUGAAUCCGGGAGAGGGAUGCGGAAUUCCAGGUGUAGCGGUGAAAUGCGUAGAGAUCCGGAGGAACCCCUGAGGCGAAGGCGGCGUCCUGGCGCGCUUCUGACGUUCAGACACGACAGCAUGGGGAGCGAACGGG
rnacentral:rRNA from 1 species